GAUGAACGCUGGCGGCGUGCCUAAUACAUGCAAGUCGAGCGAACAGACGAGGAGCUUGCUCCUCUGACGUUAGCGGCGGACGGGUGAGUAACACGUGGAUAACCUACCUAUAAGACUGGGAUAACUUCGGGAAACCGGAGCUAAUACCGGAUAAUAUAUUGAACCGCAUGGUUCAAUAGUGAAAGACGGUUUUGCUGUCACUUAUAGAUGGAUCCGCGCCGCAUUAGCUAGUUGGUAAGGUAACGGCUUACCAAGGCAACGAUGCGUAGCCGACCUGAGAGGGUGAUGGGCCAAAAGGGGACUGAGACACGGUCCAGACUAGUACGGGAGGCAGCAGUAGGGAAUCUUCCGCAAUGGGCGAAAGCUUGACGGAGCAACGCCGCGGGAGUGAAGAAGGUCUUCGGAUCGUAAAACUCUGUUAUUAGGGAAGAACAAAUGUGUAAGGAACUAUGCACGUCUUAACGGUACCUAAUCAGAAAGCCACGGCUAACUACGUG
rnacentral:rRNA from 1 species